UACGUAGGGUGCAAGCGUUUAAUCGGAAUUACUGGGCGUAAAGCGUGCGCAGGCGGUGAUGUAAGACAGGUGUGAAAGCCCCGAGCUUAACUUGGGAAUUGCGCUUGUGACUGGCGUGCUGGAGUGUGGCAGAGGGAGGUGGAAUUCCACGUGUAGCAGUGAAAUGCGUAGAGAUGUGGAGGAACACCGAUGGCGAAGGCAGCCUCCUGGGCCAGCACUGACGCUCAUGCACGAAAGCGUGGGGAGCAAACAGG
rnacentral:rRNA from 1 species